rnacentral:rRNA from 1 species
UAAACAUUGAUACAUUACUACAUUUUCAAUUCGCCCGGGUACUACAAGCACUAGCUUAAAACCCAAAGGACUUGGCGGUGCUUAAGAUCCCCCUAGAGGAGCCUGUUCUAGAACCGAUAAUCCACGUUUAACCUCACCCUCCCUUGUUUUUCCCGCCUAUAUACCGCCGUCGUCAGCUUACCCUGUGAAGGUCUAACAGUGAGCAAAAAUGGCACAGCCCAAAACGUCAGGUCGAGGUGUAGCGCAUGAGAGGGGAAGAAAUGGGCUACAUUCUCUAAAAAUAGAAGCACACGGAUAAUAUAUUGAAACAUAUAUUUUAAGGAGGAUUUAGCAGUAAGUAGAAAUUAGAAUAUUCCACUGAAUCCGGCCCUAAAGCGCGC